rnacentral:lncRNA from 1 species
GAUUAGUGAUCGAUGGUCAUGAAAGUGCUAUAAAGAAAGAAGCUGAGAAUGAUAUUGCGGUACAAGCAAUCAAAUAUUUAAAAGAUAUUUAUAAUAUUAUUAUUAAAGAUGUUCAUUUUCUAGAGAUGGAUAAAGUCAAGACUAUUAUGAAAGAUUUGUAUGAAAGUUAUGAAGAUUUGAAGAAAACUUAUGAAGAUGCAAUGAAAGAGUUGAAUGAGUUAAAGCUGA